AGUUGAAAAUUGUUUCCUUCUGCUGGUGUCUGAGGUGCUUUGUAGUAUGGGAUAGCUUACAUACUUUAGAAAGAACUUAGUCCUACCUUUGGUAAACUGUGGAUGGGGCAAGGACGCGGAGAUGUAAGAUGUUUUGUUUUUGUUCAUUCCAUGUUUUCAAUAAUUACAUACUGUCAGCUUUAUGGGAUCGCACGGCUUAACAGUGUCUAGUACACAGAAGAUGGUUAAUAGCAUUGAAUAAAUGAGAAUCUGGAAGAAUGAAUAAAUGAAUGGAUGAUGGUAUUGUAUCUCACAAGAUUUGUAAAAUGCUUACGAUUUCUGACUGCAGGCUUUGGAAUGACUGGGUUUCUGAGGUACUAAAAUCUAUAGAGAGGAAGCACAGAGCAAAGUCUGCGGAGGGGCCUCCUCUGACAUCCCACCUAUUCAACUAUGCAUGCAAAUGUGAUAGCAGUCCUGGAAGAUGAUUUUUAAAAGAAGAAUAAUAAAUAUGAUGAAAUAUAAAUGUACCAUCACAUAAUAUAUUCAAAGAUCACUUUACGUUCCUGUUUUGUACAGGUUAAUUUGCAUUUGGAUAGGCUAAUUAAAUUAAAUUUCGUGUUUCUGCAUUUGUUAGAGUGUAUUUGAUGACUCACUUAAGAACAGAUCUCUUACCUAGAGUGGGCACUUGUGGUGGCCAUGAAAGCGCUCUACCUUGAUCUUCUGCUGUGGGGUCGUAAUGAACUUAGAGUGACAGGCUCAUUCUGGAGAGACACAGGACUCAUCCUAAGAGUGACUAUGGUAUGGGGACUCUUUGUUGACCUGGAUUAACUCCCGAAUCGCUCUGCAGUCCAACCCUUCUACUACUCGAUGUCCCUUUCUUUCCUCUUUCCUUCAGUGGGUAUCAGAUUUCAGCUGAAGUCCAAAGGCUCUUGUUGCCUUCUCUUCUUCCUUUUGUCGAAAAAACUUUUGCCCAUCUAAAACCAUCUUGGUGUCUGCCUUCUGGAGUCAGGAUUUAGUUGAUGCAAAUGGUACCAAGACUCAUCCAGAAACCUGGCAAAAACUUGAAGAUUUGGGGCACACUCAAUCACCCCUGAGCAGAAGAAAGAUGCAAUAUCUUGAGUGACAGAUGGGGCCUGGGUAAUACCUGUCACUUGAUGGCAGUCCAGUUGCAGUGGUGUCUUGCAGGUGCAAUGACUCUGGUAGUUAAAAGCCAUGGGUGGGGAGGAUGGCAAUGCUUACGAGGACAGCAGAGACAGCUCAUUCAGCGUAAUUUGUAUUGAUAUGUCCUGCAGGAGGGUAAUGAAGAUUGCGGCUAUAAACAAGCAAGUCAAGGCUAAAUGUUAUGGGUGACGAUCCUGCGUGGCACCUUACGAAGAAGCCAUUUCUCCUACAACGGAAGGACAGACUCCGUCGAAUAACAGACUAAAAUCUGUGUAGUUAAAUUCACAGAGCUUCAGACAUUUGAAACCUCAGCCAAGCUAGGCCUGUAAUGUCUAGGUCAGGACCAUGGUUGGGAUAAUGUGAGACCCUGAAACGUGGAAUGAGGAUGCCUCUGAAGAUUUUAGCAUCGCAGACACCAUAACUUCAGAGCUUGCAGAGCGGCCCAUCCUUCUCUGUUAACACCUAUUAGAAAAUGCUGGAGAGGCCUCUCCCUUGCAAAGCAACAGCUGUCUACCUCAGGCGAUGCCACUACCUCCUCUCAUGGCUACUUGUACUAACCAUGCUUCUAGUUUCUGUAUCAGGGGUUCAAAUGCUUCUAUGCAGCCACUCACUCAGCAAAUGAUUAUAUAACUAGCUACAAAUAAAAUCAUCACAAGACGCUUUGAUGGCAGUCAUCAAUAGCCAGACUGAGGCUGCUCUUGGAGUGGUGUAGAUCAGGAGUUCUGAAGCCAACAACAACAGCAAGAUAUGGUCAACCGAUGAGACUCAGCAUCUCUGCGGGACAAGAUGUGAGACUGUGACUGGGCUCUGCAUGGUGUGGCUCAUUAAUCUCAUACCUUAGUAUUCGCUUCUGCAGGUUUGUGCAGCAGUCCACAGUUGUCGAGGAAGGAAGAAGAGUACAGCCUUAAGGCUGUUGGGAGGCUCAGGACAAAAAUUUACUAUUAGUGUCCAGCACUGAGCAGAAAUGACUCAACUCUAGUAUUCCUGCUGUGCCCAGUCAUUCACUAGGAGCAGCCCAGAGUCAGCAGGACCUUGAUGUUGAUACUGAAGCAGAUCCUAAGUUGAAGAAGGACAUGUUUGCUUCCCUUUCUGCCGAGAUUAUAAGUUUCCUGAGGCCUCCCCAGCCAAGUGGAACUGUCAAGGAUAAGCCAACUACAGGGGAGAGGAAGUGGAUGGAGCUAUUUUUGUGGCCUCAGCUGGGAUGCUUCUGAGGGGCAGUCAGCACAGACAGACAUGCCCUCAUUUCUUCUGUGUCCUCUGCCAGUGCUCCAGAACUGUGGAAUCUUUUCUCAUAGAGUUGUGGAACAACCCGGUGAGGACAAUGUAUUAGUCAGCGUUCUCUGGAUAAACAGAACCCAUGGGGUGAUGUGGAUGAGCUACAGGAGAAGCUGGCAGCUUUCCCCACAGUGCUGGACACACACAGGCUCAGGACUCAGAAGGGAAGAAAGGUCCCAUGGGGGUGAAAGUGCUGCAGGCCUGGGUGAAGUCCACAGAAACAAGUGACCUUGGAAACAUCCUGCUGAGAUGGAGAAACUAUGACUCAUUGUGUCUGCAUCCCUGAGCUUUCACCUGGAAGAGGCACCAACCUUGUGUGGGUAAGUCUGCAGACUUUCAUUGUCGAAGAUAUAUUUCACUCCGAAUAGUGAAUCAGAGUGAGGUGAAACAUCUGGCUAAUAAAACGUCUCAAACCUCAAACCACUUUAGAUAUCUGGAAAUCAUCUUUUCCACACAUUUAUUAUAAAACACAUAGAGAUGCAGAAAAAAAUGGCACUCCAUGUUGAAGAUGGAAAGUAAGUGACAUUGCUGUAAAAUCCUCGGAUUUCUUUUGUGUAGAUGUGGACUGUGAUUGCCAGUAUAUGGUGCAUAAAGUUGCUGGUCAUUGUGUAAAUUUAAAAUACGGCAGUUAGGCCUGUAAUCAUCUCCCAUACGUGAUGGCAAGCCAGGAGGUGGCAGGCCCAUGCUUGUUCCUUUCCUCUCUCUGCUCAGCCAGCAUAGUCUGUGCUGUUCAGCCUCAUGCUGGUCAACAAAUGGUCACUUUGUGGUGCUCCAGUUCCAACCCUCAGCUGUGUUGCACGCAGGAAGAAAGACAAGAGCUAAACUGCAGCCAGCAGAGUGUGCCCACUUUGAGAGAGCUUGUCCAGAAGCUGGGGAGGGUGGCAUCACGCCUUCUAUUUACAUCGGACCACCGCUCCCAGCAGUAGCUCCAGCUACAGAGCCUCUUGCUUUCCUCCUUCCUUGUCCUCCUCUGUGUGUGUGUGUGUGUGUGUGUGUGUGUGUGUGUGUAUAAAAUACUGUAUUAUCUCAUAUAUUUUUCUGAGUGUAUUGGUACCCUGAAUGAUAUUUGUUGGUAGGAAAACAGGAAAGUGUGGACAUUUGUGGGCAGCCGACUUUACCAGUUGGGCGUAGACUACCGAAAGAUUAUCAGUACAAUUUAUGCUCAAAAAAGUAGUGUGCAUGUCUCCGUUACUGUAUCUCAAACACCUAGGAGAAUACCUGGCUUACAGUUAAUACUAAGGACAUAUAUUUGAAGAAAGAAAGAGUUGGUGAAUGUAUACUCGUUUUAAGGUAGAGUGCUUUCAGCUUCGAACAAAGCCUAAUUCCCUUUUCCUUCAUUGUUCCUCUAUUUCUUUGGGGGCAAAACCAUAUUGUAUUGAUGGAUGAUGGCUGGUGCUUUCACUGGAGGUGCGUGUGGGAGGUACACAUCCAGACACGCUUACUCUCUUCGAGUGUGUGAUCUGGGGAUGAAUGUUUCUGUAUCAAAAUCUGAACUGAAACUGACUCCUUUCCCUUUGGAGUUUAAAUUGUUUCAACCACAGAGAGGAGUUGAAUAUUAACAAGUUAACUACGUUUAUCUGCCAGAAAAAUUAAAUAUCAGUACAGAAAAUAAGCUUAGAGUUCACUUAAGCUGCAGUAACAGUUUAAAAAGGCAUUUCAGUUUAGCGAUCAUGUAUUUUGGAUUACCUGGAAAUUUCUGUUUGUUGCAUUUGAAGUAGUUUAAGGAUUCCUGUCUUAAGAGUCCUGGUUGGCAUGAUGUUAGGUGCUCAUGCUACUCCAAGAGGGCCUGCUGAUAUUUACAGAAUCACAAAAGUAAUCCAUGACCUUUGAUUCUUGGUAUAAUGAUCUUCCCUCUAUAUUGUACUGACUGAUUGUGCAUGAAAAUAAUCUUCAAAGUUUUCCUCUUUUUUUUUAAUUCCAAUUGCUUGGGGCAUGCUUCCAUAAGAAUCUGGUUCAGUGUCUGGCUGGGGCAUUUCCAACAAGAAUCCUGAGUGAUUCUACUGCAGGUGAUACUGAGAUCACAAACUGAAAAACACUAAAAUAAAUGAAACGAAGCUUAAAUUCUACAGCCCACAGAAGAGCUCAUGGAAAUUCUUAUCAAGUUGAAACCUAGAGAAAAAUUUACUGCAUGAAGCUAAUGACAAGUGUUUUCCUCAUUAAAAAAUCAAAAGCACAACAUUUAAGUAUGAAUUAUCCUGCUAAUUCUCACCACGGUAGUGCACACGCCUAAUCUACAUCAUUAAAACAUACAUUUUAUAAUCUCUUUGCCACUUUCAUGGAUAAUUGAUGUAAUCGAAUUGAGGUGGAAUUGGAUUUUUCACUACAGAAUACCAACUGUGGCUGCUGUCCAGGGGAGAACGCUGUUCCAAGUACCCAACAUUGGCUGCUUUAGUUCAUGUAACAUUUAAUUGGCUGCUGAAAAAUAAAUUGCAAUUAGCAUUGACCAGCUUUUAAAUAUCUACCUUACAUUGCAGUUUUUUUCUUUUUAUUUUACUGCAAAAGAAAAAAAAAUAGAAUGCUUAAGAAUAGAAACACCUUGGUUUAUUUGAAAGUAAUACAGACAUGCUGGGCCAGAAUCAUGCUAGUUGCUUUAAAUAUAUUUUAUCCAAUUUUCAGACUAAUGUCAUGGGAGAUACUCUCUCCAUCAUAUAAAAUAGAAGCUUGAAACUCAGGCAGAUAAAAUAAUAUGUCUGAGACCCCAUUGAAAGUCAGAAUUGGAAACCAAGACUACCUUUGGCAAAAUGUGAUCUUCUCAACACAUAUGGUCUCUCUCUAUCUUUGACUUCUCUUUCUCUGUUUCAAUAAAUUUCUAACCUAUUUCUCCAUCCAUCCAUCCAACCAUCCAUCCAUCCAACCAUCCAUCCAUCCAUCCAUCCAUCCAUCCAUCCAUCCAUCCAUCCAUCCAUCCCAAAGGCUACCUACCAUACAAUUACUAUCUACAUUCCUAACUCUGCCUACCAUACAAUUAUUUGGCAUUAUCCGUUAAUUGGCAAUAGGGUUGCUAGCAGGUGUCCUGACAUUUUCCUAUAAUAAAAGUUCUAUAAAGAGUAAUAGACUUUUAAGGUGACAAGUUUAUUUUCAAGAAUGAUAAAAAUCUUUCCCAUCAUAUGUGAGGAAAUUUAGGCCCAGGGAAAUUAAGCAACUUCUUUGCACAGGCAUAUUAAGUUAUUGGCAGAGAUUAAAUAUAAUUAAGUCUUUUUGACUCAUAAUUCAUUUUUCCAGCUGGAACUUUACGUUAAAGACUACUAGUUAAAUAUUGAAUAAGCUCUAGUAUAACAUUUCUAGGUAACCAAAAGAGGGAGGAAAAUCUAUUCAUAGAGUCAAUUUGUUUUAUAAGUUAAUUUAAAGACUGAUUUAAAAAAUCAUGUGUACUUACAAAUUCCAGGAUUAAUAUCUUUCUUUCUAGAGACUGAUGCUGCUGUGUAGAACACAAGGCUGCAUUUCUGAAUGAAAUUAGCCCAUUUAUAAGGUUUGCCUUCAAUGGAUUCUGCUAAACCCAUGGUGUUGGCCAGAUGCAGUGGCUCAUGCCUGUAAUCCUGGUACUUUGAGAGGCUGAGGAGGGAUGAUCACUUGAACCCCGGAGCUGAAGAUCAGCCUGGGUAACAUAGGGAGACCUCUUUGCUACAAAAUAACAAUAACAGAAAUAAUAAUUUUAAAAGUAAGUAAAAUAAAACCAAGAUUUCUCUAGUGUUAGAUUUGGAUAAACCAACCCAAAUAAUAUCUAGCAGUUCUCAGAGCUGCAACAAUAGAUAAACCAUUUACAUGGUGUGUUAUAGACGAUUCUUAAAAUUUUCAAAUGUCAGUACUGAAUGGCAGGGAGUAGGAAUAAUAUUUGUCAGAGCAUCUACUAGUGCCAGUCAACAUGAAAAUGCUUACAUGUAAUAUUGAUGCCAAUCCUUACAACCGUUCUCUAAUUAAAUAGAUAACUUAGAAAUUAUAAAAAUAUUUUGUUACUUCUUUGAAAUUAGUGUUGUCAUUUUAUCAGUUUUCAAACUAAGAUUCAGAAGUGGUAACUUCCUUAAGAUCACAUAAAGAGGAUUACAUGAAAUGCAUUACCUGAAAAAAAAAUGUACUUCAUUCUAAUAUGAAUCACAACAUAGUAGAAUACGGCAGAAAACAUACUUAUAACACAACACAGCAUGUCUGGAAAAUAUGAAUGUCACGGUUCAGGUUGCAGUUAAUAAUUGACUUAGACUAGUUUCACAGAUAGUAAAAUGGUUACAUUAACAAUUUUAAAAUGAUAGAUAUGUUUUUGUUUCUUCCAGAAAAUACUUCUCUGAUUAAAAUAUUCAACUAUAUUCAAAAUUCAAAUAUUUACCAAACUUCUAAAAUAUCCUACUGUGUUUAGCAAUAUAAUAACUGCUGUUGGCUUUAAAAAAGAAUCAUAAGACUAAGGACGUUGAGGUUGAAAAAUCAGUGAAAUCAUCCCUACUGAUUUUUUUUUUUACUCUUAAAAAGGUUCAGAAAACUGACUUUAUACUGCUAUGUUUUAAACACCAUCUCUUAGUGAAAGCUUGUCUCCUUCAGUGGUCUCAAACAAAGCAGCAUAUAGAUGAGGUGUGGAGGCAGAUUGCCUCGGUUCAGAUCCCAGUUCUGCCACUGUUAGCACCUACCUUUUAUGUUUGUUGGCAUUAAAUGAUUUUAAUCAUGAAAUACUUAACAUGUUGCAUAAGAAAUUACCUAGCAUGUAAAUAUAAAACAACAGUACUAAUUAUUAGUCAACAAAAACUUGAUAAUUGCAAGUUCCGAGGCUUUUUUUUUUUUUCUGGUGGAAAGGGGAGAUUUUAAUAAGUAAGGAUGGUAAGGAAAACAUCCCUUUUAUUUUUGUGGUAAUGUGUAAUCGUUUCCUAAUUAAAAUGAGUGUUUAUCAUCAGACACCCACUGGUCAGACAAACCACAGAGUAAUAAGAAAAUUGCUGAGUGAUGUAGGAAAGUUAACUGGCCCCUCUGCCUUGAAACAAAUACAACAUUGGACAUUGGAGAGGGCCAGAGAGACCAUCUUCCCAUCUCAGCAUAGGAACCUAACCCAAGAAAUAGUUUACUAUUCUAGACAGAGAAUCCAUCACCUCCCCCGAAAACUUACUCUAACAUUUAAUCCUCUGACUGUGGGAGUCAAAAUUUAAUUUAGAAACAGAAAUUUAAUUUAAGUCUAUGAAAGAGAAUGUCAUAUUUUUUUUGUCUCAAACUCAGCAAUUGUGAGAUCAAUGUUUUAUGAAUACAGGGUUCUAAUUUAUAAUUUCACAAUUAUAAUUUGUAAUUAUAAUUUCAAUUAAGUAGUAUUAAAGUAGGGUGGUAUUAUCAAUAUUUAAUAUAGUUUUUGAAAAAUUACCACAUUUAUAACUGAUUUAUUUAGACAAUAUUUAUCAUGUAUCUACUAUACAUCAAGUACUAUGGUGUCCUGUUUAUACCUUGUCUAAUUCUCUGGAGGCUAUAACUUUUGUCAUUUCUUUAUUUUUAACCCCCCCAGUGAUUAACUCCAUAAAUAUUAAUAUACCAGUGUUUGUUAAAUUACAAAAUUUAGAUGUCAUAUAAUGUUUACCAUCACAAAAUAUAAAAAUUUAACUCAGUUUACUGAUGAAAAGAUACAGUCCUCAUCUGUCAGGUGACAAGGCAUUAUUUGAUAUUUACAAAUUUCAUAUUGAGUGGACUUUAUAAUUAUAAAUAGAUAUUAUAAUUUGGAUAUAAAAUUCUAUUUAGUUUUUAAAGAAUUAAAAUGAUUUGGAUUAUGUGUUUUUGUCCUAUGAAAAUAAACAAUAUGCUGUGGAAUCACAA